CUUGGUUUUUAUAAAAAUAUUAAUGAUAUCAUGGUUUUUUCAAAGGUGUGAAUGAACUUGUUUUUUAAAUUACUUUAUUUGCUUUUAUAGCAGCUACCUUUUUAGCCUUUACAUAUACUAUGAACACUCAUGAGCUUAGAGUUUAGAAAAGAAAAAAAAAAAAGCAAUGUUAGGAAAUCAAAAUGAGACUCCAGAUAAGCAAGAAAUAAUCCAUACUUAUGUGGUCUUUGACAACAGUGUUCUAGCAAUUAAUCCAAAAUGUGUGCAUCAUUGAGUUAAACAGAACCUUUGGAGUCAUUUAAGGAAAUAAUCCAGAGUCUCCUUGAGGCGAUGGGAGGAUGGAUGGUGCUGCUUUCAUGCAGAUCUGCUAGAAACAUAAAUUGAUUGAAUUUAUGUUUACUUAACUGACAACAAACUUAAAAAUAUAUAUCUUUUGAGGUAGAAAUCUUAUUGACUUAAACAGGACCAUUAGAGUCUUUUAACAAAAUAAUCUAAAUGAAGUAAUAAAACAAUUUCUUGCCACUGUGUUGACAAAGUUCACUUGGUAUGUUUUAUAUUGAAUGAUUUUUUUUUUUUACAAUUUAGUGCUGCAUCUAGAAUUUCUGUGCAGUAAUAAAGACAAUGCCCCAUUAUGUUCUUCUGUUACUAAUGAUUCUGUAAAGAUAAUUAGAAAGGGUGAAACCUAAUUCCAUUAAACAGAACUCUGCUGGGACAGAAUGAAAUUUUGCUAUGAGGCUGAAGACUUUGAAACAAAAAUGAAAAGCUUUUACACAGACAGAGCAAAUGGUUUGUGAUGGAUACAGACACGUUAUCCAUUUAAUCAAGAAAUAUUUAGUGUGGACGACGACGACGACGGUGAUGAUGAUGACAGUGAGUCAUCAUAAAUUUUUGCUCAAGGUGGUGAAAUACAAAGCCGCACCCCACUGCAGAAACCUUUGAGUCAACAGAGGAGCGCACCAAUUCUAGUUGAGAAGUAAAUUAAGGUGUGAAAAUACUGCCCGUAAAGCUGUGAAACUUGGCUUGUGGACAACCUGGAAAGCUUGCACUGAUUUAAAGACGCCAUGGGUAUUGAUUCUUUCUGUAUUUCUCCCCCAUUUGAUUGUCAGGGAGGAAGGGGGAUUAUUGCAGGAUAAAGAUUGCUUUUGGAAAAACGGG
rnacentral:lncRNA from 1 species